rnacentral:rRNA from 1 species
UGAGGGAUGGGCCUGCGGCCAUUAGCUUGUUGGUGAGGUAACGGCUCACAGGCUGUGAUGGCUAGCUGGUCUGAGAGGAUGACCAGCCACACUGGGACUGAGACACGGCCCAGACUCCUACGGGAGGCAGCAGUGGGGAAUAUUGCGCAAUGGGCGAAAGCCUGACGCAGCGACGCCGCGUGGGUGAUGAAGGCCUUCGGGUCGUAAAGCCCUGUCGCAGGGGAAGAAUAAGCAUCGGUAUAAUACGCCGGUGCCCUGACGGUACCCUGCAAGAAAGCACCGGCUAACUCCGUG